rnacentral:rRNA from 1 species
CCUACGGGGGGCAGCAGUGGGGAAUAUUGGGCAAUGGGCGAAAGCCUGACCCAGCAACGCCGCGUGAAGGAAGAAGGCUUUCGGGUUGGAAACUUCUUUUGACAGGGAAGAGGAGAAGACGGUACAUGACGAAUAAGCCACGGCUAACUACGUGCCAGCAGCCGCGGUAAUACGUAGGUGGCAAGCGUUGUCCGGAUUUACUGGGUGUAAAGGGCGUGUAGCCGGGUUGACAAGUCAGAUGUGAAAUCCUGCGGCUUAACCGAAGAACUGCAUUUGAAACUGUUGAUCUUGAGUACUGGAGAGUCAGCUGGCAUUCCUCGUGUAGCGGUGAACUGCUUAGAUAUUAGGCGG